GCCAGGUGUGGUGGUGGGCGCCUGUAAUCCCAGCUACUCGGGAGGCUGAGGCGGGAGAAUCACUUGAACCCGGGAUGCCUAGGUUGCAGUGGGCCGAGAUCGCACCACUGCACUCCAGCCAGGGUGACAAAGAGAGACUCCAUCUCAA
rnacentral:SRP_RNA from 1 species